UACGAAGGGGGCUAGCGUUGCUCGGAAUUACUGGGCGUAAAGCGCACGUAGGCGGUCUUUUAAGUCGGGGGUGAAAUCCUGGAGCUCAACUCCAGAACUGCCUUCGAUACUGGACGACUUGAGUCCGGGAGAGGUGAGUGGAACUGCGAGUGUAGAGGUGAAAUUCGUAGAUAUUCGCAAGAACACCAGUGGCGAAGGCGGCUCACUGGCCCGGUACUGACGCUGAGGUGCGAAAGCGUGGGGAGCAAACAGG
rnacentral:rRNA from 1 species